rnacentral:rRNA from 2 species
GCCUGCCCAGUGACCAUGUGUUCAACGGCCGCGGUAUUCUGACCGCGCGAAGGUAGCGUAAUCACUUGUCUUCUAAAUAAAGACUAGUAUGAACGGCCACACGAAGACUUAACUGUCUCCCCUGUCCAAUCAGUGAAACUGAUCUCCUUGUGCAGAAGCGAGGAUGAACCCAUAAGACGAGAAGACCCUAUGGAGCUUUAAACUCAAUAUUAACUAUUUUUAUAAUCCCCUCUAAGGAAUUAACAAAUAACCCUUUUCAACUUAAUAUUAGUUUUAGGUUGGGGCGACCAUGGAGAAAAAAAUAUCCUCCCUGAUGACUUUUAAACCAAGAGCUACAGCUCUAAGUAUUAAGAUACUUAACUUCCAUUGACCCAUUUUAUGAUCAACGAACCAAGUUACCCUAGGGAUAACAGCGCAAUCCAUUUCAAGAGUCCCUAUCGACAAAUGGGUUUACGACCUCGAUGUUGGAUCAGGGCAUCCCAGUGGUGCAACCGCUACUAAUGGUUCGUUUGUUCAACGAUUAAAGCCCU